UAACAAGUGACAAACUCAAGAUGUUCUGUGAGGGAAUGAAGAGACUCUCUUCGUCUCAAGUUUUUGGUGCAAGAAAAGAAAAGAAGAAAGGAGAAUUCCUUGAUGCUAAGAUCCAAGUUUGGGGAACAACGAAAUU